rnacentral:rRNA from 1 species
AUCGAACGCUGGCGGCAGGCCUAACACAUGCAAGUCGAGCGGAGCGGCGGACGGGUGAGUAAUGCCUAGGAAUCUGCAUGCUGGUGGGGGAUAAGGUCCGGAAACGGGCGCUAAUACCGCAUACUAUCAGAUGAGCCUAGGUCGGAUGAGCAAGUUGGGGGGGAAAGGGCCUACCAAGGUGACGAUCCGUAACUGGUCUGAGAGGGUGAUCAGUCACACGGGGACUGGGACACGGCCCAGACUCCUACGGGAGGCAGCAGUGGGGAAUAUUGGACAAUGGGCGAAAGCCUGCUCCAGCCAUGCCGCGUGUGUGAAGAAGGUCUUGGGAUGGUAAAGCACUUUAAGUUGGGAGGCGGUACCAACAUAAUAAGCACCGGCUAACUUCGUGCCAGCAGCCGCGGUAAUAC